AUGGUUGUAAUUUCAAGCCAUUCCUUAUUUCUUGUGGACCGAGGAAGGAUGCUUUUCCCCUAUGAGCAGGAGAAGGAGAAGGGCAUGGUUGUAAUUUCAAGCCAUUCCUUAUUUCUUGUGGACCGAGGAAGGAUGCUUUUCCCCUAUGAGCAGGAGAAGGAGAAGGGCAUGGUUGUAAUUUCAAGCCAUUCCUUAUUUCUUGUGGACCGAGGAAGGAUGCUUUUCCCCUAUGAAAAAUGA
rnacentral:rRNA from 1 species